rnacentral:rRNA from 1 species
CGGAGGAAAAAGAAACUAACAAGGAUUCCCCUAGUAGCGGCGAGCGAAGCGGGAAGAGCCCAGGAUGAAAAGCCUGCUUGCAGGCGUUGUAUCUGUGAGCGUACUUGGGGGGCGUCAGUGUGGGUAAGUCGUAUGGAAUUACGUGCCGUGGAGGGUGAGAGCCCCGUCCAACCCAUACAGGACGACCCCCGUACAAGUAUGUUUCUGUGGAGUCGGGUAGCUUGGGAAUGCUGCUCUAAUUUGGUGGUAAAUCUCAUCAAAGGCUAAAUAUUGACCGGAGACCGAUAGCGAACAAGUACCGUGAGGGAAAGAUGAUAAGCACUUUGAAAAGAGGGUGAAAAGAACCUGAAACCGUCACGGGGAAAGCGGAUUGCGUCGGACUGAGGGGUCUGUUUUGCGUGUUCAGCCUAAUAUUUUAUUAAUUAAAAAAACAGGUGCAUUGACGCAGAGACUUACCCGCCGUGGGCUUCUGGUGGUUGAAAAAAUUAAUGUGCCGCCGGGGGCUGAGGGAUCCCCUAUUUGUUUUUUUUAUAAAAAGGGUGAGGACGGUGGGGCGACGACGCGAUACGACCCGUCUUGAAACACGGACCAAGGAGUCUAGCGCGGGUGCGAGUCAAAGGGUUGUACGACAAAAAACCUGAGGGCGUAGUGAAAGCGAACGUGUACAACUGUGUGUGCGCGCAAAACUUUCAGUUUGAGGCGGCAUAAGAUCGUUGAUUUUAAGACCGACCUAGAGCAGUUGCGCUGGGACCCGAAAGAUGGUGAACUAUGCCUGAGUAGGGCGAAGCCAGAGGAAACUCUGGUGGAGGCUCGUAGCGGUGCUGACGUGCAAAUCGCUCGUCAAACUUGGGUAUAGGGGCGAAAGACUAAUCGAACCAUCUAGUAGCUGGUUCCCUCCGAAGUUUCUCUCAGGAUAGCGGGCCGAUAUGUUUUGCGUACGUUGUUUUGUGCGGUAAAGCGAAUGAUUAGCGCAUUCGGGGGCAUUUAGCCUUUGGGCGAUUCUCAAACUUUAAAUGCGCAAGAGGGUGCUACUGCAUAUCUGAGUGGUACCAUCAAAAACAUCGGCCCUGUGGGCCAGUUUUGGUAAGCAGAACUGGCGAUACGGGAUGAACCGUAAGUGUGGUUAAGGCGCCAAAGUGCUCGCUCACAGACCCCAAAAAAGGUGUUGAUUCAUCGAGACAGCAGGACGGUGGCCAUGGAAGUCGGAAUCCGCUAAGGAGUGUGUAACAACUCACCUGCCGAAUGAAUUAGCCCUGAAAAUGGAUGGCGCUUAAGCGGGCUGCCGACACCACGCCGUCCGUGCAUUUUACAAARUAGUGCGGAUGAGUAGGAGGGCGUGGCGGUCGUGUGGAAGCUUGCGUGCAGACGCGGGUGGAACGGCCGCUAGUGCAGAUCUUGGUGGUAGUAGCAAGUAUUCAAGCGAGAUCCUUGAAGGGCGACGCGGGGAAGGGUUCCACGCGAACAUUGAUUGGGCGUGGGUGAGUCGUACCUAAGCCGGGUGGUAAUUGCUAACUAUUUUUUUUUCGGCGAAAGGGAAGCGGGUUGACAUUCCCGCACACGGAUGUGGACGCGGUGACGCGUUUUAGUUUUGGGGGCGAAGACGCUGGCGACGGCGCUGGGCAGAGUUGUCUUUUCUGUUUGACCGCGCUAUAACGCGCUGUGUGGAAUCCGCUUGUCGGGAGAAACACGCGCGUCGGGGCAGAGCGCCGGGGCUUAUCCGGCGUCCAGCUCGCCGUCGACGGCCCUUGAAAAUUCGUCCUCAGCUUUUUUUCUAUUUUAAAAAAAAAAAUUCCACGCCGUGGCGUACCGAUCACCGCAUCAGGUCCCCAAGGUGAACAGCCUCUGCUCAGUAUGAACAAUGCAGGUAAGGGAAGUCGGCAAAUUAGACCCGUAACUUUGGAAUAAGGGUUGGCUCUAGUGCUGCGUGGGAGAGGUUGCUGAGUGUGAUGAUGAUGAUUUUUUUUAUUAUUAUUAUCUUUAUACGGGGAGGUGUCUGAGGCUGCGAAGGCGCGGGGCUCCUGUGCCUGGUCUACGAAAGAUGGUUUUCUGCCUCUGGUCUGUCUGUUUGUGCUUCUGUGACUGGAGAGCUUGUUUCUGUCUGUUUUUUUUCUUUUUCUCCUUGUUUCUUGUUCUUGUGGUCUUCGGGCUGUGGGGGCGGGUGGCGAGGCGAAAAGAGAGCCGGCGUUUCGGGUGUUUAAGGUCCAGAACCGUGCAUUCGUGCUGCCAGAGUGUGUACGGGCUUGAUUUUUGGCUGGGCCGUGGGGACCUGUUCCUGCGGCAACGGGCCGCCUUUCCGCAUUCGGCGACGCCCACAGCAUGCAGCAGACUAGAACUGCAACGGGCAAAGGGAAUCCGACUGUUUAAUUAAAACAAAGCAUUGCGAGGGCCGUGGCCGGUGAUUACGCAAUGUGAUUUCUGCUCAGUGCUCUGAAUGUCAAAGUGAAGAGAUUCAAUCAAGCGCGGGUAAACAGCGGGAGUAACUAUGACUCUCUUAAGGUAGCCAAAUGCCUCGUCAUCUAAUUAGUGACGCGCAUGAAUGGAUUAACGAGAUUCCUACUGUCCCUAUCUGCUUCUAGCGAAACCACAGCCGGGGGAACGGGCUCGGCAAAAUCGGCGGGGAAAGAAGACCCUGUUGAGCUUGACUCUAUUCUAAUUUUGUCAAGCAAGUUGGGAGGUGUAGCAUAGGUGGGAGCGUUCGGCACUCGCUGGCACAACAUUUAGCUGCAAACUUUUUGUGGUUGUGUGAUGUGUUGGUCGUCGUUCGCGUCCGUGAAAUACCACUACUCCCAGUCUUGCUUUACUUACUGGGUUGGCGUGGAUGAGCCUUUUCUUUUUUUAAAGCUGCUCCUUUCUGGAACCAAGGUUUUUUUUUGCUUUUUGCAGAAAAAACUGACCACCGCCCAGUACACAUUUAGGAGGGGAGUUUGGCUGGGGCGGCACAUCUUCUACAAGACAACGAAGGUGUCCAAAGAUAAGCUCAGUGAGAACAGAAAUCUCACGUCGAGCAAAAGGGUAAAAGCUUGUUUGAUUUCGAUUUCCAGUGCCAGUCGAAAACGCGAAAGCGUGGCCUAUCGAUCCUUUCACAAUUUCCAGGUUUGAAGCGAGAGGUGUCAGAAAAGUUACCACAGGGAUAACUGGCUUGUGGCGGCCAAGCGUUCAUAGCGACGUCGCUUUUUGAUCCU